rnacentral:misc_RNA from 1 species
GAAAAGAGUGCACCAACUCCUGUGGGUGAACUAGGGAUGGUUGAAAUGUCACAAGCCUUGGAUUUAAUUGAUGUUUGCUAUGAACAGGUUGGACCAGAUAUGCUAAUUAGUGGAUUUCUUCAGCCUAUCCCGGAACUGACUCCAGUUAUCCCAUCAGAGGAUGAGACUUUUGCAAUUGAUCCUACUGUCACUCCUUAUGAAUCAAGCAUCAUAUUCUUCUAUAAGACUUGGGAUCCUUAUGGGGCUUUUUCAAAUUUUUCUCCUCAUCCAAUUCAAAUGUUUGAUAGCAAUGGUGAUUAUGCCACAUGGUCAAGUGUAGAGCAUUAUUACCAGGCACACAAGUUUUUGGGGGUGAAUGAUCCUGUAGCAAAAGAUUGCAUUGAGAAGAUUAAGUCAGCAAAAAGUCCAGAGGAAGCAGCACGAAUGGGAAGGUCAAUGCAGAGGCAGUG